UCAGUAAUCCGCGGGAGAGCUUCACUGCAUAUUUCUCUUCAAGAUUGAGAAUCGCAACGAAAUCCUCGUCGAGCAACACGUCCACUGAGCAACCAUGUCUGUGUCCUUAAAGGAACUCUGUCAGGUACAGAUUAGAACUAUGAACUUGAAAAUCAACCAUUCUGAUGACUGGCGUCCCCAUCCGAGUCACCACCUCAGACAACAACAGUCAUAAACUCACAAACACAAAUACACUCAGUAAUGGGCUUAAUAAAGAAAGACUUAACUAUGAUUUUAUCUGUGUUAACCUAUGAUAUCAGUUAUUGAUGUAUUUUAAAUAUUUACGUAUUACUAGGCUUAUCAUACAUGCAUUGAAGUUUUAAAAUGUAUCUAAUAUAAUACUGUAAUUAAAUUGAAUGUUUUGGAUACCACCAUUAAAUUAUUUUGUGCAUGUAAAACACAA